GAUGAACGCUGGCGGCGUGCCUAAUACAUGCAAGUCGAGCGAACAGACGAGGAGCUUGCUCCUCUGACGUUAGCGGCGGACGGGUGAGUAACACGUGGAUAACCUACCUAUAAGACUGGGGUAACUUCGGGAAACCGGAGCUAAUACCGGAUAAUAUAUUGAACCGCAUGGUUCAAUAGUGAAAGACGGUUUUGCUGUCACUUAUAGAUGGAUCCGCGCCGCAUUAGCUAGUUGGUAAGGUAACGGCUUACCAAGGCAACGAUGCGUAGCCGACCUGAGCGGGUGAUCGGACAGCCUGGAACUGAGACACGGCCCCGACUCCUACGGGAAGCAACAGUAGGGAAUCUUCCGCAAUGGGCGAAAGCUUGACGGAGCAACGCCGCGUGAGUGAUGAAGGUCUUCGGAUCGGAAAACUCUGUUAUUAGUGAAGAACAAAUGUGUAAGUAACUAUGCACGUCUUGACGGUACCUAAUCAGAAAGCCACGGCUAACUACGUG
rnacentral:rRNA from 1 species